ACUCAGUGAGACAUCUCUCUCUCUCUCUCUCUCUCUCUCUAUAUAUAUAUAUAUAUAUAUAUAUAGAGAGAGAGAGAGAGAGAGAGAGAGAUGUGGAGCCAUG
rnacentral:miRNA from 1 species